GAUGAACGCUGACAGCAUGCUUAACACAUGCAAGUCAACUUGAACUUCGGUUUGGGUGGCGGACGGGUGAGUAACGCGUAAAGAACUUGCCUCACAGCUAGGGACAACAUUUGGAAACGAAUGCUAAUACCUGAUAUUAUGAUUUUAGGGCAUCCUAGAAUUAUGAAAGCUAUAUGCGCUGUGAGAGAGCUUUGCGUCCCAUUAGCUAGUUGGAGAGGUAACGGCUCACCAAGGCGAUGAUGGGUAGCCGGCCUGAGAGGGUGAACGGCCACAAGGGGACUGAGACACGGCCCUUACUCCUACGGGAGGCAGCAGUGGGGAAUAUUGGACAAUGGACCAAGAGUCUGAUCCAGCAAUUCUGUGUGCACGAUGAAGUUUUUCGGAAUGUAAAGUGCUUUCAGUUGGGAAGAAAAAAAUGACGGUACCAACAGAAGAAGUGACGGCUAAAUACGUG
rnacentral:rRNA from 1 species